rnacentral:rRNA from 1 species
AGAGAAGCUGGAUAAGGGCACACGGAGGAUGCCUAGGCGGUGGAAGCCGAAGAAGGACGUGCUAAGCUGCGAAAAGCCCGGGGGAGGUGCACAGGACCUGUGAUACCGGGAUAUCCGAAUGGGAGAACCUGCAUACCUGGAGGGUAUGCGUGAAAACGGUAAGCCUGCGAACUGAAACAUCUAAGUAGCAGGAGGAAAAGAAAGUAAAAACGAUUCCCCAAGUAGCGGCGAGCGAACAGGGAAAAGCC